AUUGAACGCUGGCGGCAGGCCUAACACAUGCAAGUCGAAUGAGUGGCGGACGGGCGAGUAAUGCUUGGGAAUCUGGCUUAUGUAGGGGGAUAACGACGGGAAACUGUCGCUAAUACCGCGUACUAUAGUAUGAGCCCUAGUGGGAUUAGGUAGUUGGUGGGGUAAUGGCCUACCAAGCCGACGAUCUCUAGCUGGUCUGAGAGGAUGACCAGCCACACCGGAACUGAGACACGGCCCGGACGCCUAAGGGAGGCAGAAGUGGGGAAUAUGGGGCAAUGGGGGCAACCGGACGCAGACAUGCCGCGUGAGUGAAGAAGGCCUUCGGGUUGUAAAAUUCUUUCGGUGGGGAGGCGGUAAUCAAAGAAAAAGCACCGGCUAACUCCGUGCCAGCAGCCGCGGUAAUAC
rnacentral:rRNA from 1 species